rnacentral:rRNA from 1 species
GACGAACGCUGGCGGCGUGCUUAACACAUGCAAGUCGAACGGAAAGGCCUGCUUUCCCUUGUGGAUUGCGGGUACUCGAGUGGCGAACGGGUGAGUAACACGUGAGUGAUCUGCCCCCAACUUGGGUAUAAGCCUGGGAAACUGGGUCUAAUUCCCGAUAGGACUGCAGGGUGGUGCCUGUGGUGGAAAACGAUUUUCUAGUGGUUGGGGAUGAGCUCGCGGCCUAUCAGCUUGUUGGUGGGGUAAUGGCCUACCAAGGCGGCGACGGGUAGCCGGCCUGAGAGGGUGGACGGCGACAUUGGGACUGAGAUACGGCCCAGACUCCUACGGGAGGCAGCAGUGGGGAAUAUUGCACAAUGGGCGGAAGCCUGAUGCAGCGACGCCGCGUGGGGGAUGACGGCCUUCGGGUCGUAAACUCCUUUCGACCGCGAGGAAGCCACCUGGUUGGAAGGGUGGUGACGGUAGUGGUAGAAGAAGCACCGGCUAACUACGUG